GUGGCGCCGCCGGCGGCCCAGGCCUCCUUCCGGCUCGGGUAGAGGCCGCGGGGAGCACCUCGGGACCUAGCAGAGCGGAGCUGAGGGGGCCGGCGGGCCGCUCGACCCGCUGCAGACUUCGGAGAUGACUGGGACGAGGAGACCACCUUCUCAAGGCAAAAGGAAAAGGAGGUGACAGGCCUUGAGACCACUGAAGGGAACCCAUGGCUAGGAUCAGUUUUUCCUACCUCUGCCCAGCCUCCUGGUACUUCACUGUGCCCACAGUGAGCCCAUUUCCCCGGCAGCGGGUGGCAUUCCUAGGACUCUUCUUCAUAUCCUGUCUCCUCCUUUUACUUAUGUUAAUCAUGGACUUUCGACAUUGGGGUGCUUCAUUACCACGAGACAGGCAAUAUGAAAGGUAUUUGGCUCGAGUAGGAGAUCUUGAAGCUACUGACACUGAAGACCCAAAUCUAAAUUAUGGACUUGUUGUGGACUGUGGCAGCAGUGGCUCUCGGAUUUUUGUUUAUUUCUGGCCAAGACAUAAUGGGAAUCCUCAUGACUUGCUGGACAUCAAACAGAUGAGAGACCGUAACAGCCAACCAGUGGUUAAAAAAAUCAAGCCAGGAAUCUCUGCAAUGGCAGACACUCCAGAACAUGCCAGCGAUUACCUUCGUCCUCUACUGAGCUUUGCUGCUGCUCAUGUGCCUGUGAGGAAGCACAAGGAGACCCCCCUUUACAUCCUAUGCACAGCAGGCAUGAGGCUUCUCUCCGAGAGGAAGCAGUUGGCUAUCUUGGCUGAUCUAGUGAAAGAUUUACCUCUGGAGUUUGACUUCCUCUUUUCUCAGUCUCAGGCAGAAGUGAUCUCUGGGAAGCAGGAAGGGGUUUAUGCAUGGAUUGGAAUCAACUUUGUUUUGGGAAGAUUCGACCAUGAGGAUGAAUCAGAUGCCGAGGCUCCCCAGGAAUUGGCAACAGGACGCAGAAGGACAGUAGGGAUCCUGGAUAUGGGAGGAGCCUCUCUCCAAAUUGCUUAUGAAGUUCCUACCUCAACUUCUGUCCUGUCUCCACAACAGGAAGAAGCUGCGAAGAUAUUGCUGGCCGAGUUCAACCUGGGCUGUGAUGUGCAACACACUGAACAUGUGUAUAGGGUUUAUGUCACAACCUUUCUGGGAUUCGGGGGCAACUUUGCCCGGCAGCGCUAUGAAGACCUUGUGAUGAAUGAAACUCUUAACAAGAACAGGUUGCUGGGCCAGAAGACAGGUCUGAGUCCCGACAAUCCAUUUCUAGAUCCCUGCCUGCCUGUGGGACUCACGGAUGUGGUGGAAAGGAGCAGCCAGGUCCUUCAUGUCCGAGGAAGAGGGGACUGGGUGGCUUGCGGGGCCAUGCUGAGCCCCCUGUUGGCUCGCUCCAACACCAGCCAGGCCUCGCUGAAUGGCAUCUACCAGUCACCCAUUGACUUCAACAACAGCGAGUUCUACGGUUUCUCCGAGUUCUUUUACUGUACAGAGGAUGUGUUACGCAUCGGUGGCCACUACCACGGGCCAACAUUUGCCAAGGCUGCUCAGGAUUACUGUGGCAUGGCUUGGUCAGUACUCACUCAGAGAUUCAAGAGUGGCCUCUUUUCAUCACAUGCAGAUGAGCAUCGACUCAAAUAUCAGUGUUUUAAGUCAGCUUGGAUGUACCAGGUUCUUCAUGAAGGAUUCCACUUUCCCUAUGACUACCCAAAUCUGCAGACAGCCCAGCUGGUCUAUGACCGAGAGGUUCAGUGGACACUGGGAGCCAUUUUGUAUAAAACACGCUUCUUACCACUCAGGGAUCUACGGCAGGAAGGUGCCCGACAGGCCCAUGGUAGCUGGUUCCGUCUCUCCUUUGUGUACAACCACUAUCUUUUCUUCGCCUGUAUCCUGGUGGUGCUACUGGCCAUCAUCCUGUACCUUCUGCGGCUACGCCGAAUUCACCACCGACAAAGUCGAGCCUCAACCCCAUUGGACUUACUGUGGAUCGAGGAGGUGGUGCCCAUGAUUGGGGUACAGGUUGGGCCAUGAGGCUGGACAGGUUCUAGGGGAACUCAAGUAUUCAGAAUUGCUGCCCAUUGAAUUCCACCACUUUCUGGUACUGGCCUCAGAUGCUGCUUUGCCUGACUUUGUGGAUAUUUGGCCUUGAAAUUUCUACUUUAGUACCUACUUUAAUUCAUUCUCAAUAUCCAGGUCCUCUUCUCUGAGAGAAGCUGUAAUUUAGUCUAUGAAGAACUAAAUGAGAGAUUGGUGCUAACAAAGGGAACCAACUUUAGUCCAAUUGAAGCAUGCUUCUACUCCUUUAUCUGAGUGAUCUGGUGUGCUCCUGGGAUCUAGACUUUUCUCCCCUUGCUUAAAGCUUGAAGUUUGGCAUUGGGCACACUGGAAGUCUGGUUGAAACCAAACUUGGAGCAUCUGAUUCAAAGCCGAAGACAUUCUAGCAAGUGCAGCAGCCCCUUCUUUCUCUGUAACAGAGAUAUCACUUAUGUGGAGAUCCACAGCCUUUAAUAAGGAUCCAAGAUCUUUGCAGUUCAGCGGAACAGAUAAGAAUUUCCAGGCAACCAAAAUAACACAGCUUCUUUGCUUACUCAACAAAGAAGCCAUUGUGAGUGUGGUCCAAGAUCCCUGACAUACUGUUGCUGAUGUUAAUUUGUGAUUUUAAAAGAACUUCUGCUGCCAGUGUCCUUGUCCUCAUGGUGAGACACAGCCACCCCCCGCCUCUGCAGGAGACCCUCCAACACUAGCAGGUAGGUCUGGUUUUGUCUCCUAUGGGGUCACUGCUCCUUCCCCUGGGUCCCGAUGCACACACUACUUUGUGUGUGCCCUCCAAGAGUGGAGUCUCUGUUUCCCCCAGUCCUGUCGAGGUCCUGUAAUCAAAUCCCGCUAGCCUUCAAAGUCUGAUUCUCUAGGAAUUCCUCCUCCUUUUGCCACACCCACAGGUUGGGAAGCCUGACGUGGGGCUCAGAACCUUCACUCCAGUGGGUGGACUUCUGUGGUAUAAGUGUUCUCCAGUUUGUGAAUCACCCAGCCAGCAGUUAUGGAAUUUGAUUUUAUUGUGAUUGUGCCCCUCCUACCGUCUCACUGUAGCUUCUCCUUUGUCUUUGGGUAUGGGGUAUCUUUUUUGGUGAGUUCCAGUGUCUUCCUGUCGAUGAUUGUUCAGCAGUUAGCUGUGAUUCCGGUGCUUUCACAAGAGGGAGUGAGAGCACGUCUUUCUACUCCACCAUCUUAAACCAAUCUCCAGAAAAUGAGAUUUUUAAAGCUGAGACUUUAGAGAUUUCUGGUUAACCCCCAUGAUUUUACAGAUGAUGAAAUUGACACCCAGAACAGUAGUAAUACAAUGAAAUGAUUAUUGAUGGAAUCUUCUUGCAAGACUGUGUGUUUCAACACAAUAUAUAUAAUACAGCUGACUGCAACUAACCAGGCGCAGUCUUUAUAACUGCUUCUGAUAGUCCUUGGUGAUUGCUCACAUUUAGGAAUAAAAUAUGAAAGAAAUGCUUUGUUAGAAAUAGUAUCAGGUUUUCACUACAUCCAUUCUAGCUUCUUUAUUUCUUUCAAUAAUUUAAAAUUUUAGACAUCUCUUCUUGAAACAAUUUGCUUAAUUUUGUAUAAUUUUCUUAACCACAGCAUCCAAGCAAUUCAUGUUAUGGUUACAAUCUAAAUUAUUUAAGAUAUAAAUGUUUAUUAGAGCUACCUCAUUAAGGAACUUGGUUGUAAUUAUUGGGCAGUUCCUAGACUCCCUUACAGAAACAGAGUGCUGUUUCUUCUUGCUGUUUUUAAACUUUUCAAACGAAUUCAGAACUAGCAUCUAAUUUCCCUUUUUGCUGUGGUAUGUGAUGAAACUUCAGUUGGAAUUAAGAAUUAAGGUAGAAGUAGCAGCAAAUGUUUCUAAUUCUCCCAAACUAGUCUCAGGUUAUGCUAAUUUCAUAGUGCUGCCACUAGGGCCAUGUGCUCUGACAAACUUGUGAGGAUUUGUUGGUAUUACAAAAUAUAUUUGUUAAAAAAUGAGGAUUCUUUUUUUAAUAUCCGAAUACACUUUCUUUGUAUUAUUACACGUUUCCUUUUCCCCCUAAUAUUUCAUUAUUUCUCAGUACCAUUAUUAGAGGGACAGAGAAGGAAUACAUCCAUUGACCAAUUUGUUUCUCUGGAAGUCUGAGCAAUAAUACCAUUUUAUUUGUAAAAUUGAAUCAUUACCCAUACUUUUAAAGGGCUUUCUACUUUUAAAAUGUAUUCAAUCGUUGCUUGCCAUUUUUUUUUAAUGUGAUGUAUAUAUUUUUUUAAUUAAUUAAUUAAUUAAUUUAUGGCUGUGUUGGGUCUUCGUUUCUGUGCGAGGGCUUUCUCUAGUUGCGGCAAGCGGGCGCCACUCUUCAUCGCGGUGCGCGGGCCUCUCACUAUCGCGGCCUCUCUUGUUGCGGAGCACAGGCUCCAGACGCGCAGGCUCAGUAGGUGUGGCUCACGGGCCCAGUUGCUCCGCGGCAUGUGGGAUCUUCCCAGACCAGGGCUCGAACCCGUGUCCCCUGCAUCGGCAGGCAGAUUCUCAACCACUGCGUGACCAGGAAGCCCAGCUUGCCAUUUUUAUAAAGACCAAAAUUGAAAAAAAUUUCAGAAUCACAGGAUGAUUAUAGCCACGUAUGCAUCACUUCAGGCAAGCUGAGCCUCUCUUUUUUAAGUAGUGCAGCCACUCAUAUGCCCUGUGGCAGCCUACCACUCCUCUCUACUCUCCACUUCUCCAGUGUAAAGUAGCCCUGCUACUUUCCUAAGCAGCCCCUCCUACAGAACACCUGCCAGAGUUUAGCCUGUAAAGACUGCUGAUGAUGAAGGCUCUGGCCCUAAUUAGCUUCAUAAAAAUCUUUCUCUGCGAGCAAGGAUCCCAAACACUUUGAUUUCUGGAAUUUGUCAUUAUGUUGUGUUUGAAAUUCUUAUCCUACAAUUCUCCUUUAGUUGCAGUCCUGAAGUAUAUGCCUUGUCUCCUCCAUGAUUUCUGCCUUGAGCAUUGGAUCCUGCAAUGUUGAAAGACAUCUUGUGGUUCACAACUAAAAACUCCUUUUGCUUUAAAAAACCAAAGGCUGCCUGCAUGGCAUCACUUUUGGGGGUUGCUAAGCUUGUAUGUUUUUCUAAAAAAACAUAGUUUAGACAUCUAGUAGUUGUUUCUAAAAACUAUUAUUCACAUUAAAUAAUAGUUUUGCUGAACAGUUCUUGAAAUUCUGAUAAAUACUGUUAAAUCAGUGUUGAACAAAAUGUGCAAUGCAUAUUAGAGAGGGGAUGCAUUCUUAUGCAGGGACAUGGGUAUAUAUGUUAUAUAUGCCAGUAGACAACCCACCAUUCAUGCCAGGACUGGAAGGAUUGCUGAAGAUAAACUGGUUAUCCUACUAUUAUGAUCAUCAGUGUUGGUCUUUGCAGCCAGCAUCACUUUAGGCAGUGGCUAAUUAUUACCCCUGCCAAAAUGGACAGCAUUUGUCAGUCUAAGUUAAAGACAAAGAUAUUCUGGGUUAAUUAAGAAAGCCAGGUGUAUUAAUCUCCUUUGAUGUUUUAAAAACAACUGACAGAAUUGUUGAGAGAGACUUUUGAAAAUAUUAAGGGAAAUUAAUUUCAUCUUCUAGGUAUGAUGACUUAUUUUGAGAGCAGUGUCUGGGACAUCAGUUUGUAAUCAUCCAUUUUCCAUUCAUUCAUGCAAUAUUUGAUAUGUGUCUGGUGCUGGGAAUAAUGCAAACAAAAAUAAUUCAGAUAAUAUCCAUUCACCAGGAGCUCAUAGAAGGGCAUAAUAGUUAUAUCACUCAAUGCAACCAGAUCUGUUUUUCCAAACUUACUCAUCUUUAAUAAAAGAAACAAUGAAGUAAAACAUCUGCAACUUAAACUUAUUUAAUUCAUUCAGUGCUACUUUUUUGGAGGGAACAGUAGCAGCAUUAGCAUGUGGUUCUUUGAGUUGAUCAGGCUGCCCUCUGCAGACUCAGUUAUUAACUAAGAACAACCUUAAUUUGGGGAUCAGGAGAUGAUGGUACGGCAACGUGCCCCCGUGACUGCAGCUCCCCUUCUUUAGAGAAUUCUAUAUAGAAGAGGUGAUACCCCAUUAGCACACUAACAGGAUCAACAAAGCAGAUUAAAUGAGAUAGGGUGGGGUGGAAAUUUG